UGUGGGAGCGGGCUUGCCCGCGAUGACGGCGGCACAUUCACAAAUGAUGUGUCAGGUAGAUUGCUAUCGCGGGCAAGCCCGCUCCCACA
rnacentral:misc_RNA from 1 species